GAAGGUAUAGCUCAAGUGGUAGAGUGCAUGCUUUCCAUGCACAAGGUCCUGGGUUCAAUCCCCAGCACCUUCU
rfam:Camelus ferus unplaced genomic scaffold scaffold7707, whole genome shotgun sequence.